UCAGGUAGGAAUACCCGCUGAACUUAAGCAUAUCAAUA
rnacentral:rRNA from 4 species